rnacentral:lncRNA from 1 species
AAAAAACUCAGCAACACUCAGGUUGCCAAGGUGUUUGGAGGGGCCGGGAGGGGGAUUUUUGUGGUUUCUGAAAUAGGAAGUACCACCCUAAAGUGUAUCAUUUCUGAAGUGGAGAAAGUUCCGGUAGGCUUUCAGAAAAGCCAGCCCAAUGACAAGCUGAUGUUUUCAACAUAUUUAUAGGUCAAAAUAGUAAAAACAUGACUUAUCUCAAAGACCAAUGGUGUUAUUUGCAUGUGAAGUGACUAAAGUACACUCCAUAGUUGCCCACUCUGAGAAUUUAUUAGCCACAGAAAUCUAGCUCGCUUUUGUGAAAGACACAGUGGGCUGCCUAUCGUGAUUGUUUUUCUUUACUGCAGACCUUCAACAAAGCUCGCUUGGGUUUGAAGAUGAAUGCCAAUGGAGACAUACGUGUUGAUUAUCGACUCUGUGGCAAAGCAUCGUGGUUUGAUAACAGUAAAAGUCGGUUCUUUCCGAAACUCACAGUCAUAAAGAGAUGGGUGUGGUCUGUCUGUCACCAAGGGUGUUGCUUUGCUGGGCUCCGAACAAGUCAGGCCCUGAUUAGACUCCAGUUAAGAAGCUUGUGUGUGUGUGUGUGUGUGUGUGUGUGAGUGUGUGUGUGUGUGUGUGAGCGCGCGCACAGAGGAUUGUCCUGUACACAUCUGUGUGGAUGGCAACUGGCUGUGUGGACCACCUUUGCCCAAAUGACUCCAGUGGCCUCUGGCAUCAGAAUCCCUGUCCCUGCUGGGAGCAGGGGCAACUCUGGAUGGUCUAUGCUGGCAUCCUGACUCCAGAAACUGAAAGGGAGACACCUGAAGCUUGGAAGUUUCCCUGGCCUGUGGUAAAGCAAUUCUUGAGGGAAAAUGGCAGAGGCCAAAAGGAAGCAAGACCACACUAUUGCCUUAACCAAACGGGAGAGGAGAGGAGUUUGACUCACUCCGUGUCGUUUGCAUCCAGAGCCACCAUCCUGAUCCCUGAAGUGUGGAAGCUUCAAAUGGUUUGCCAUCCAAGAAGAGCCAGGGGCUGACAAGAUGAUUCAGUGGAUUUGAGCAUUGGCCACCAACCCUGAUGACCUGGACUUUACCCUCCAGUUGUCCUCGGACCUCCACACAUGUCAUGACACACAUUCCCCAUCCUCCAAUACAUUAAUAAAUCUAAAAGGGGCCCUCUGGUACUUCUCUCUCCUGGAUAUUGUCUCCAGCCUUAUCUAGGCCAACAGUAUACACAAUACGGGGUUAAGGACAGCUACAGCGUUGCAGAGGGGUCGCGACCAGUGUUCAGAACUGCUCUUGUACGUUGAACGCUGAACUUUGUCCUGCGCUGCACUGUCCAGUGUGGAUUCUGGGGGAACCAGUGACGUGUGCCUCUAAGCACCCCUGGGUUUGCCCUUGUUUCAACCUCAGAGACAAUGGAAGUUCUGCUCCAAUCAGAGACUGACUCCCUCCGAGUUAAGUCCUCUCUGGACCACCCCACCUCCCUGCUCGGGUCAUGUGCUUCCCCCAACGCGUGUCCUGUUCCCUGCUCAAGGGUUGUCAGGCUUUCAUAAGAUAACUCCUGUGGUUAUCACUCAUCCAGAUUCUUACAGCCAGCUGCUCAAAGC